GAUACAAACAAGUAUUAUAGGUGUUACCACUGACCCCGAAGGUAAGAUUUACUGUGAAAAUUUAUAAUGCAAGGAAGAAUGAUCAUUUUCAAAAUAUACACUUUGCAACUUAAGUUGGCUGUCACAACAACAAAAUAUUACAAACCAGGAUGUCUAAGAGCAGAAGUCCGUGGUUGCCAACUCUCAAGCCUCUUAGCUUAAUCCAAUCUAGGAUGCAUUUCCACUCUGCAACAAACAGUAUUUAUUUUUGCCUUAUUUGCAGAUAACAGUUUUAAUGCAGGUACUGCCCACGGAUUAGCUUUGAGCAGUGUCUUUUUGCUUUGGUUUUUUUAUUUGUUUGGUUUGUUUUGAGACUGAGUCUCACUCAGUCCUCCAGCCUGGGCAACAUAGCAAGACUCCCACCCUUUAAGAAAAAAGAGAAGAGAGGAAAAAA
rnacentral:lncRNA from 1 species